CAAGGAACUAUGAGUAUUACAGCCUUUUCCUUCUCAAAAGCAAAUGAAUAAAAAAAACAUAGCAUGGCAUUGCAAACAGUACAACUAAUAGAGCUUAUUAUCGACGAACUCUGCGUCACCGGAAGCGAGCCCGCGGGCGAUCUGAUCCCCUUCGCGGCCUCGUCAACGACGCCGGGUCGUGUGCCUUCCGAAUCCUCGUCGAAUCCGAGCUCCCGGAGGCACCCGAGGCGCGGGCUCCCCAACCGCCUCUCGACCCCGCGCGCCUGCGCACCGUACGUGUUCUGGGAUGCGUUCCACUUCCACCCGACCGAAGCCGCCAACCUCUUCGUCGCCGGCAAAUUCCUCGACGGAGACAAGGCUGCGGCCUGGCCUAUCAAUUUUCGUCGAUGAAGAGGGGUAUUCGCAUCCGAAGGCUUACGAUGGCACCAAAAUCCAGCGUUGAUGGAGUGGAGGAGGCUGAAGAUGAUGGGCUCCUUCAGGAGGCGAGGCGGUUGCUGGAUCAAGAUAGACUUGGGAAGGUAACUGAUUUUGCCAUUACAGCGACUGUGAGUCCGAGGCCGGUAGUUCACGGCAUCGAAGCUCUCAACGGUUCUCGGUUCUGGGCUCUUAGCUCGGAUGAGCCGAGCAGCGACGAGGACGCACGUAAGGAGACAUCUUUGGAGACACCGCUGGGGGUUCAGAGUGCGCCGCCGAAGGAAGUCUCAUCGGAAGCUUGGGCAGUCGGGGUGAGAAAGCCGGUUACGAUUGUUUCUGAACCUCGGUUGGUGAAUCAGUCACGAACAGAGGCAUACCACCGCCUAAAGCUGAGGCCAUGGCAAGGUAAACUUCCAUCGCCUCGUCGUUCUCCAGUGAUGACCUUUGGAG
rnacentral:misc_RNA from 1 species